CGCCUUGCCAGCCCGCUCAAGAAACUCAAAGGAAUUGGACGGGGGCCCGCACAAGCGGUGGAGCAUGUGGUUUAAUUCGAUGAUACGCGAGGAACCUUACCUGGGCUCAAAUGUAUGUUGACGUAUUCUGAAAGGGAUACUUCUUCGGACAAUAUACAAGGUGCUGCAUGGUUGUCGUCAGCUCGUGCCGUGAGGUGUCGGGUUAAGUCCCAUAACGAGCGCAACCCCUACCUUUAGUUGCCAUCAGGUAAUGCUGGGGACUCUAAAGGAACUGCCUACGCAAGUAGUGAGGAAGGCGGGGAUGACGUCAAAUCAGCACGGCCCUUACGUCCAGGGCUACACACGUGCUACAAUGGCCGAUACAGAGGGCAGCUACCUGGUGACAGGAUGCAAAUCUCCAAAGUCGGUCUCAGUUCGGAUCGGAGUCUGCAACCCGACUCCGUGAAGUUGGAUUCGCUAGUAAUCGCGCAUCAGCCAUGGCGCGGUGAAUACGUUCCCGGGCCUU
rnacentral:rRNA from 1 species